rnacentral:misc_RNA from 1 species
AUGAGGAAAUAAAUUCCAAAACUAGAGCUGGAUAAACUAGUUCUUGUUUAUGCACAAAUUCCAUCCAACCUAGACCAUCAAGGUAGGCAACUACAUUAUCAAAUAAACUAACUGAUUGGAGGGCAUCUGCAAAAAUGUACCUAGUGGGUUGCACUUUCCUGUCCUUGAGUCUCUUAAAGGUUGCCUUAUGAGUUGCAUCAGAAAGGGGCCAAGGUAGUUUAGAUACCUGUGCUGCUGCUGAAAUUUGCUUUUUG